AUUGAACGCUGGCGGCAGGCCUAACACAUGCAAGUCGAGCGGAGCGGCGGGCGGGCGAGUAAUUCCUAGGAAUCUGCCUUGUAGUGGGGGAUAACGUCCGGAAUCGGGCGCUAAUACCGCACACUAUCAGAUGAGCCUAGGUCGGAUUCGCUAGUUGGUGGGGUAAAGGGCUACCAAGGCGACGAUGCGUAACUGGGCUGAGAGGAUGAUCAGUCACACUGGAACUGGGACACGGUCCAGACUCCUACGGGGGGCAGGAGUGGGGAAUAUUGGACAAUGGGCGAAAGCCUGAUCAGGCCAUGCCGCGUGUGUGAAGAAGGUCUUCGGAUUGUAAAGCACUUUAAGUUGGGAGGCGUUACCAACAGAAUAAGCACCGGCUAACUACGUGCCAGCAGCCGCGGUAAUAC
rnacentral:rRNA from 1 species